ensembl:snoRNA
AGAUCAUUUCAAAGAAGGCUCCCGAGGCCAUGAAACUAAGAGCUUAGUGCUGUUGUGACAGAAGUUAAGGAUGGCAUUCACUCCACAGCCCUCUAUUUUCCUGAGGAGAGAUAAUG